CGGAAGCGAUGAUAGCUUGCUAUCAGGCGUCGAGCGGCGGACGGGUGAGUAAUACUUAGGAAUCUACCUAGUAGUGGGGGAUAGCUCGGGGAAACUCGAAUUAAUACCGCAUACGUCCUACGGGAGAAAGCAGGGGAUCUUUGGACCUUGCGCUAUUAGAUGAGCCUAAGUCGGAUUAGCUAGAUGGUGGGGUAAAGGCCUACCAUGGCGACGAUCUGUAGCUGGUCUGAGAGGAUGAUCAGCCACACCGGGACUGAGACACGGCCCGGACUCCUACGGGAGGCAGCAGUGGGGAAUAUUGGACAAUGGGGGGAACCCUGAUCCAGCCAUGCCGCGUGUGUGAAGAAGGCCUUUUGGUUGUAAAGCACUUUAAGCAGUGAAGAAGACUCUUCGGUUAAUACCCGGGGACGAUGACAUUAGCUGCAGAAUAAGCACCGGCUAACUCUGUGCCAGCAGCCGCGGUAAUACAGAGGGUGCAAGCGUUAAUCGGAAUUACUGGGCGUAAAGCGAGCGUAGGUGGCUUGAUAAGUCAGAUGUGAAAUCCCCGGGCUUAACCUGGGAACUGCAUCUGAAACUGUUAGGCUAGAGUAGGUGAGAGGGAAGUAGAAUUU
rnacentral:rRNA from 1 species